rnacentral:misc_RNA from 1 species
ACUAUGCGAGUGUUCCAUUUCCACAAAUAAAUUCUAGCAUCCACCUUCUGCCUUCCCAGCAUUGCAGUGGAGAAUGUGAAUGUUACUGUAUUACUCCCUUCCUUCAGAUUCAAGGAUGCCAACUCUUCAGAUGUUGGGGUAAUCGCCCUUACCAUCUUUUUGGAGACCUUUGUCUUGAAAGCAUUUCUAUCAUAAUCCAUAUCAAUGUUGCCAUCUGAAGCUUUCUCAGCAUCAGAACUCCUGGC